ACAUGCCUACAUCAUAGCGUUAAUGCACCAGAUCCCAUUAGAACUCCGUAGUUAAGCAUGCUCAGGCUUGAGUAGUACUGGAAUGGGUGACUUCCCAGGAAUUCCUAGUGUUUUAGAUGUC
rnacentral:rRNA from 1 species